AGCGAGAUCAGCGAGAUCACCAGUAUCAAGAAGGAGGACGUGAUCUCCACGCUGCAGUACCUGAACCUCAUCAACUACUACAAGGGCCAGUACAUCCUGACGCUCUCCGAGGACAUCGUGGAGGGCCACGAGCGGGCGAUGCUGAAGCGGCUCCUGCGCAUCGACGCCAAGUGCCUGCACUUCACCCCCAAGGACUGGAGCAAGCGGGGCAAGUGGUGAGGCCACGCCCCCGCCGGGCCACGCCCCCGCCGGGCCACGCCCCCCGUCACCUGGCGCACCUCACUGAGCGACAGCCGGCCCCGCCCACAGCUGGCGCUGCGCGUCCUUUAUUGACCGUAAAAGGAAAGGGGGUGGGGCGUUACCGGGCCCCACCCACCGUGGGAGUGGCUUCGUUUGUGGGCGGAGCCUCCUGUGAACAGCUUUGGGUUUUUCAAUAAAAUGGGGCGGGGCUCUCGCAGGCUCCGCCCACACUGGGAGGGGUGCAGGCACUCUGGUUGGGUUAGGCCCCGCCCGUGGGCGUGGUCAGCCCUGGUAAUGAGGUGGGCGUGGUUUAACUGCUCUGGGCGUGGCCUUGGUCACGCUGGGUCCGUUGACAUCACAGGA